CAGUCGCCGCGGUAAUACGUAGGGUGCAAGCGUUAAUCGGAAUUACUGGGCGUAAAGCGUGCGCAGGCGGUUUGUUAAGACAGAUGUGAAAUCCCCGGGCUUAACCUGGGAACUGCAUUUGUGACUGGCGGGCUAGAGUAUGGCAGAGGGGGGUAGAAUUCCACGUGUAGCAGUGAAGUGCGUAGAGAUGUGGAGGAAUACCGAUGGCGAAGGCAGCCCCCUGGGCCAAUACUGACGCUCAUGCACGAAAGCGUGGGGAGCAAACAGGAUUAGAUACCCCUGUAGUCCCUGUCUCUUAUAC
rnacentral:rRNA from 1 species